GUGGGGGAUAUUGCACAAUGGGGGAAACCCUGAUGCAGCAACGCCGCGUGAAGGAAGAAGGUCUUCGGAUUGUAAACUUUUGUCCUCAGUGAAGAUAAUGACGGUAGCUGAGGAGGAAGCUCCGGCUAACUACGUGCCAGCAGCCGCGGUAAUACGUAGGGAGCGAGCGUUGUCCGGAUUUACUGGGUGUAAAGGGUGCGUAGGCGGACUGGCAAGUCAGUGGUGAAAACUAUGGGCUUAACCCAUAGACUGCCAUUGAAACUGUUGGUCUUGAGUGAAGUAGAGGCAGGCGGAAUUCCCGGUGUAGCGGUGAAAUGCGUAGAGAUCGGGAGGAACACCAGUGGCGAAGGCGGCCUGCUGGGCUUUAACUGACGCUGAGGCACGAAAGUGUGGGUAGCAAACAGGA
rnacentral:rRNA from 1 species